GACAGAGGGGGCAAGCGUUGCUCGGAAUUACUGGGCGUAAAGCGCGCGUAGGCGGCUUUGUAAGUUAGAGGUGAAAGCCCGGGGCUCAACCCCGGAACUGCCUUUAAGACUGCAUCGCUUGAAUCCGGGAGAGGUGAGUGGAAUUCCGAGUGUAGAGGUGAAAUUCGUAGAUAUUCGGAAGAACACCAGUGGCGAAGGCGGCUCACUGGACCGGUAUUGACGCUGAUGUGCGAAAGCGUGGGGAGCAAACAGG
rnacentral:rRNA from 1 species